rnacentral:rRNA from 1 species
GAUGAACGCUGGCGGCGUGCCUAAUACAUGCAAGUAGAACGCUGAAGGAGGAGCUUGCUCUUCUGGAUGAGUUGCGAACGGGUGAGUAACGCGUAGGUAACCUGCCUGGUAGCGGGGGAUAACUAUUGGAAACGAUAGCUAAUACCGCAUGACAACAGUUAUUGCAUGAUAACUGUUUAAAAGGGGCAACUGCUCCACUACCAGAUGGACCUGCGUUGUAUUAGCUAGUUGGUGAGGUAACGGCUCACCAAGGCGACGAUACAUAGCCGACCUGAGAGGGGGGUCGGCCACACUGGGACUGAGACACGGCCCCGACUCCUACGGGAGGCAGCAGUAGGGGAUCUUCGGCAAUGGACGGAAGUCUGACCGAGCAACGCCGCGUGAGUGGAGAAGGGUUUCGGAUCGUAAAACUCUGUUGUAAGAGAAGAACGAGUGUGAGAGUGGAAAGUUCACACUGUGACGGUAUCUUACCAGAAAGGGACGGCUAACUACGUG